UGGAUAUGAUGACUGAUUACCUGAGAAAUAAUUGAUGAAAUUUCAAGAAAAUUCCUCUAGAUAGUCAAGUUCUGAUCCAG
ensembl:snoRNA SNORD20 small nucleolar RNA, C/D box 20